UACGUAGGGGGCUAGCGUUGUCCGGAAUCAUUGGGCGUAAAGCGCGUGUAGGCGGUUCGGUAAGUCCGCUGUGAAAGUCGGGGGCUCAACCCUCGGAUGCCGGUGGAUACUGUCGAGCUUGAGUACGGAAGAGGCGAGUGGAAUUCCUGGUGUAGCGGUGAAAUGCGCAGAUAUCAGGAGGAACACCGAUGGCGAAGGCAAUCCCCUGGACCUGUACUGACGCUCAUGCACGAAAGCGUGGGGAGCAAACAGG
rnacentral:rRNA from 1 species